rnacentral:tRNA from 1 species
GCCUGAGUGGCUCAGUCGGCUGAGCGUCUGACUUUGGCUCAGGUCAUGAUCUCACGGCUUGUGGGUUCGAGCCCCGCAUCAAGCU